rnacentral:rRNA from 1 species
UAGGGAAUCUUCCACAAUGGACGCAAGUCUGAUGGAGCAACGCCGCGUGAGUGAAGAAGGUUUUCGGAUCGUAAAGCUCUGUUGUUGGUGAAGAGGGAUAGAGGCAGUAACUGGUCUUUAUUUGACGGUAAUCAACCAGAAAGUCACGGCUAACUACGUGCCAGCAGCCGCGGUAAUACGUAGGUGGCAAGCGUUGUCCGGAUUUAUUGGGCGUAAAGCGAGCGCAGGCGGAAUGAUAAGUCUGAUGUGAAAGCCCACGGCUCAACCGUGGAACUGCAUCGGAAACUGUCAUUCUUGAGUGCAGAAGAGGAGAGUGGAAUUCCAUGUGUAGCGGUGGAAUGCGUAGAUAUAUGGAAGAACACCAGUGGCGAAGGCGGCUCUCUGGUCUGCAACUGACGCUGAGGCUCGAAAGCAUGGGUAGCGAACAGG